UACAUAUUAUAUAUAUGUAUGUACACAAUACUAAGAAAUCUUUAUGUAUUCUGUAAUGAACCAUCGACAAUCUCAGAAUAAUUGACCGAUGCAUCCUUGUAACUCACCGGAGAAACCGCAGUGAUCUCCACCGGAAAAAUCUCCUUCCAUUACAUAAACCUCAGCUCCUUUGACUUGUUUCAAUGAAGUUUCUACACCUUCCAUUUUUGCUCUGAUUAAUUUUCUCUAUCUAAUUCAGCUUUCCUUUGCUUGUUCCUAAAGAUCAUAAGCUAGAGAAUGGGCUGCGCUGGAUCGUCACAGACGAAAAAAGAUGGAAAAGUGAAAAAGAUUCGAAAGCCAAAGUCUUGGAAGCAUCCCCAGCCAAUAACAAAGUCUCAACUUUUGCAGAUGCGUGAUGAAUUUUGGGACACUGCUCCUCACUAUGGUGGCAGAAAA